UUCCUCCGAGACGUCGGCUGACGUGUUGUGGCAGCGGGGAGGCUUUUACUUUGAAAGGUGCCACCGGAACACGCUCGGGCCGCCGUCAGGUGAGUUCCCCUCCGCUCCGCCGGACACUCGAGUCGACUGUCCGCCGACGACAGGAGCGUCAGCUCAGGCGGCUGCUGGUGAGGUGAGCAACCCGUUUAACCGAGGUAACAUUUGAGCACAGCAUGGCGCCGAUGAAUCCUGUCAUGUAGAACUGAGUCCGCACUUAUCGCCUUCUGGAGAAGUGAUCAUGUCGCGGUGGAGUCCAGUGUGUGGCCAUCGCUCCACCGGUUUGAAGAUGAGUUCUAGAGUGACUGUUGAUGUGGAGAAAGAGGAGGAGGAGGAAGAGGAGGAGGAGGAGGAAGAAGAGGACGGUGCGAGUGUGAACCCAACAGAGGUGAAAAUGAGUCAGAUCGUGAUGCCCUGCCACAGCAACCAUCGCCACGAGCUGAGCGUGGGACAGCUGCUCAAGUGGAUCGACUCCUCCGCCUGCCUCUCCGCUGAGAGACACGCUCAAAGUCCCUGCGUCACUGCUUCGAUGGAUGACAUCCACUUUGAGCACACCAUCAGUGUGGGUCAGGUGGUGAACAUCAGGGCCAAGGUGAACAGAGCCUUCAACACCAGCAUGGAGGUGGGCGUACAGGUUAGCUGUGAGGACCUGUUCACUGAUCGUCACUGGAGAGUUUGUCAUGCCUACGCCACCUUUGUAACUCAGCGCACAAACACUGGAGAGAAGGUGACCUUGAAGCCCGUCCUCCCUCAGACUCAGAGGGAGCAGGUUGAAUACAGCGUGGCGGCCGAGAGACGGAGGGUCAGGAUGGUACACGAUGACAUCAUCAGAGACCUGCUCUCCCACGGCUCCGUCCAGCAGGUUGAGACAGCAGUAGACAAUGCAGUGGCAGCAGAGAAGACCAAGGUGGAGAGUGUUGAGCUGGUUCUCCCUCCACAUGCCAACCAUCAGGUGAACACAUUCGGAGGACAGAUCAUGGCCUGGAUGGUGAAUGUAGCUACGAUUGCUGCCAGUCGUCUGUGUCAGGCUCACCCGACUCUCCGCACCAUCGACAUGUUCACUUUCCGAGGCCCUUCUCAAGUUGGAGACCGCCUACUGCUGAGGGCCAUCGUCAACAAUGCCUUUAAAAACAGCAUCGAGGUGGGGGUGCGAGCAGAGGCCUAUCAGGAGGAGGGACCUAACCGACACAUAAACUCUGCCUUCAUGAUCUUUGAGGUGCUCGAUGACCACAGGAAGCCGUGUACGUUACCACGGAUACGACCUGAACCCCUGGAAGGGGAGAGGAGGUUUCAGGAGGCCGUAGCCAGGAAGAAGAUCAGAUUAGACCGGAAGUAUAUCAUUUCCCGUACGCAGGGCGAGGUCCCUCUGUCUGUACCCUGGGACCCCAGAAACCAGGUAUAUCUGAGCUAUAACAACGUGUCAGCGCUGAAGAUGUUGGCUGCCAGAAACAACUGGCGCCUCAGCUCUGAGAAAGACAAGGUUCGUCUUUAUACACUGGAGCUGAAGUCCAUGCUGAGUUUCAAGGUGGAGUCAGAGGUGGAUGUUCCUGCUCACAGAGCCUUUUGUCUGUUGGCUGAGAUGAGCAACAGACCGAACUGGGACCCACAUUAUCGGAAAUGCGAGCUGAUUCACCGGGUGGACGAUGAUGACUUCCUGUAUCGUGUGGUUACCCCGUCAGUUCGUCAUGGAGCUGUAGGCUCCCAAACUUCAGCCGGUCAGGGAGAGGGAAUCCUCCAGGACUUCAUCUUGUUGGCUUCCAAGAGGAGGCCGUGUAGCAGUGGAGAUCCAUAUGUCAUCGCUCUGCGUUCAGUGUCUCUGCCCACUCACCCGCCCACUGAAGGAUAUAACCGAGGGGAGGUUCUGUGUGCUGGAUUUACCAUACUGGAGACCAAAAACAACAUGUCACUGAUCAGCUACUAUAACCAGGCGUCUCCAGAGGUCCUUCCCUACAUCUCCACUGACAUCGCUGGCCUCUCCUCCUCUUUCUACCACAACUUUUGCUCCUGUAGCCAGUACCUGACUCAGAACAGGCUGCAGCUCACCGCAGAGGAGCAAACUGGCCAAUACCAGUCCACGAAUAUGGACACACCCACCUGUGACAGCCUGUCAGUGGGCCUCAGUGGCACCCAACUGUAGAUGGUCAAUGGUACAAGUUCACAUACUGAGGUCAGUCUGCUGUUUAUACAGCAACUUAUGAUUAGCGAACAAAAGGUUGAUAUUAAACUUUUUUAAACAUUGUUUUUAUAACAGGCAUAGAAAAAGAUAUUAGAAAAAUUCUGUACAAAGGGAGUCAAUAAUAACUAUGCCAUGACACUUAAUGCUCACUUUAACGCUCAGAUCUGAUUAUAAGACUCAGACCUCAUCUCAAAAAAUAAAGUAUCAUUGGAUAUUGAUUAUCUAGUUAGGACCAAUGACACUGUAUAAAGAUGGACGGCCUAGAAGUCAAUCCUUUUCGGUAAAUGUGGGGCAUUAUGUUGGGUGAAUUGUCUGCCUUUGCUGACUUCAGUUAGCAGAAGCUAAUUUGUUUCAUAGGAACCUAAACUGUUUUGAACAAAGUGUGUUUGCUCAUUGUUCUUCCAAUCAAAGUUGAAAUGGCAACCACACAAUUCUUUGACUAUGGCCUGGGAAUACCUGGUGCUGUAAGCUUUUAAUCCAAAUAUUUGACAAUCAGAGGUUUUAGUUUCUUCUCUGUUAGAGACAGGACAGAUAAAAUACACAGAACAUUCUUCUAAAUUGGAUUCAUUUAUAUUUUGAUGUUACCUAUAUUUAAUUUCAUUUUCAAAAGGGGGUUUUGCAAUGUGAUUGAUGUUUGAGUUAUUUUAAAUGAACAUGGGUUUUGGUUGAACGGUAGCUUGCAUGCUCAAACAAAGUGGAGUCACACUUUGCUUACAGUUGCUUCGACGCAUAUAUCAAUUGUUUAUCUUUUUAAAGGCAUAGUUGUGAUUCUUGAUUAAAAUGACUCAAUCUCCAUCGCCAUGGAUAUCAGUUCCAGAGAGUGGGGCUUUGCAGAUGGGGGUGGGGAAUAAAGCCUGGGGAAGGCUGAUGGCUAAAUUUUGGAUUAUUCAUCUGAUGUGGAUAGAAAAGCUCUAAAAUGUCAUAGUCACCCAGCGUAGAGUCCGAUGUUGCAUUGUCUGAUAUGGCCCUACGCCGGCGAUUUGGCUACCUCAUGUCCAGCGAAUUCCAUGUUAGUAUAGUGGACAGUAUCUCCGCCUGUCAUGCGGAAGACAGGGGGUUUGAU